GCCCAUCUAGCCCACUUGGUGGAGCACAAGACUUUUAACCUUGUGGUCAUGGGUUCAAGCCCCAUUGUUUGCA
rnacentral:tRNA from 1 species